rnacentral:rRNA from 1 species
GAUGAACGCUGGCGGCGUGCUUAACACAUGCAAGUCGAACGAUGAAGCCCAGCUUGCUGGGUGGAUUAGUGGCGAACGGGUGAGUAACACGUGAGUAACCUGCCCUUAACUCUGGGAUAGGCCUGGGAAACUGGGUCUACUACCGGAUAGGAGCGUCCACCGCAUGGUGGGUGUUGGAAAGAUUUAUCGGUUUUGGAUGGACUCGCGGCCUAUCAGCUUGUUGGUGAGGUAAUGGCUCACCAAGGCGACGACGGGUAGCCGGCCUGAGAGGGUGACCGGCCACACUGGGACUGAGACACGGCCCAGACUCCUACGGGAGGCAGCAGUGGGGAAUAUUGCACAAUGGGCGCAAGCCUGAUGCAGCGACGCCGCGUGAGGGAUGACGGCCUUCGGGUUGUAAACCUCUUUCAGUAGGGAAGAAGCGAAAGUGACGGUACCUGCAGAAGAAGCACCGGCUAACUACGUG